UAUUUGGAAAGUCCUCAUUUUUCUUAGUGAUUUCUUUCAUAGCCUGAUGCUAUGGUUGGAGACUUAAGUCAAGCCAGUGGUAGUCUUGUAUACACCCUCGCCUAUCGUCCUAACCUGCUGAGUCACAGGGACGUCCUGUCAGAAUGGGCCUCCAGAGCUUCCCCCCCGAAAACCCCUCCAUUACUCCCAGUUCCGCGCUCUCAUUGGGCGUCGGAGCCGGGGGGGGGGUCCCCGCCCCCACAUCGUUGCACAUGACACGAGUAAAAAAACAAACAAAAAAAAAACCACGGCAUUCCUUUCAUCCUCCAUCAGCCCGAUCUCAUCUCGACAUCGUUGCCUUACUUGAAUUGUUGUUCUUAUCUACGACCGUAUGUACAAAGCUGCUUGUCUCACGCUUACGACAGUAUAUAUCGGCAAACACGUCAUGGCUCCCAUUCCAGUGUUCUAAUCCAUGCCGAGGCCGUCACUUGUAAAUGCAGAUUUUUUUUUUGAGCCGCUUUGUUAUGGAUCUCCACCGUGAUGCUGCUGGUUAUUCAACUGAGCCCCACAUCUGCUUUCAAGGGCAACUUCUUCCCAGGUGAAAUGGUUUAGUUGCCUUGCUUUUUGUCCCAUAAUGUUGUCAAAUGUUGCACGUUCAGUAACAGUUACAUGAUGACAAAAUAAAGUUGAAAGGUUUUGUUAUGAUUGAUAAUGAUUACAAAUAAAUAAUGGAAUUCGUUUUGAGGGGGUUCUUGCCCUGACUUAAGCACAUCAUUGGGUGAUAACUGUAUGUUCCCAAUAUCUGACUAAUGACCCCCAAAAAAACGAAAAUAUGUGGCACUUUGGACAGAAUAGAACAGUUAUUAUUUUUUAAUUUGUUUUACUAUCAGUCUUUUUGUUGCGUCCUUACAUCAUGACAUUUCUUUGACACAUGCUUUACGUGAGACAUGUGGUGGCAGGAGUUGUUCUCCGUCUGACCACUUGGGGGCAGUAGUAGAGCUCGCCGCGUUCGGCCCAUAGCUACAGCAGCACUGAGUGACCCAUCAUACCCGGCUCUGAAAGUGCUUCCUGGAUGAUAAGAACAGUCUCUGUGUUGGGACACACUCGUUGCUUUCAUCUCUGACGUCUUGGAAUACUAUACUCUCGCGUUGCCAGAUAUUAUAGGUCACCCCACCACCACACACACACACACACGCUUGCUUAGCUGUGAACUGGAAUAACGAGUGAAAUCUUACUUGAACAAAGAUAUUUAUUGCUUGAUGAGUGUCAGGUGAAGGAGAGCACGAGGUGACAUGGUUAACAGAGUUUGUACGAGAGAGGGAAAGAAACUGAUUGAUGAAAAGAAAAUGAUGGGGUGGACUUUUUUUUCCAGUGUUUAAUCUUUUUUCUUAAACCCUCAUCUUCUGUACCAGUCACGGCGAUCAGGCUUGCUCGCUCUUACUACCGGUUCUUAAGUGCGUCUCGGCUCCCUCAAGUCUGUGGUACUGGUAGCGUGUCGCCUCGGUUGGUUCAUCUGAAAGUCCAGUGCUUCUACGUUCGAUUCCUGAAGAAUCAAGAAGAAGAGCGUGCGCUUGAAACAAAUGAGAUUUCUAACUAACCCAGUGGAUCGACUGAUCUUAUUGACGGGCUAGAAGGAAAACAUGCAGGCGUAUCGACCACUCCGAAGAUGUCUUUCAUUUCUAAUUGCCGUGUGCCAGCCUUGAUCUUCCCCUCUCGUUCGUCUCCUCAAUCACGAAAGCAUCAAAUGUGAAGCUAGCUAGGUCUUAAACACAACGGGGGCGUACAAGCGUACAAAGCUACGUACUUAUUUUCUGUGUGUGUAUAUUAUUCCGAUUUAACCAUUGUUAUUAUUACUAGUAGAGAUUUUUCCAGCCAAAGCAUGUAACAUGUUGCUUUAAGCCUUUUGAACUGGCUACUCACAAGACUUGACGAUGUCUGCAUUUCCACAGUGGCCUGUACUGGUAAUACUAAUGAACGUGAUUUGUAGCCUGAUUCCCUCUGUACAGAAGUCUUGACUAUAAAUAUAUAAAUACAUUUAUAUUUAACAGAAACUUGAGUUGUAAGUGGUCAUGUGAAUGCUUGGGGCAUAUACAGUAUGUAUACAUUUGCUGAGUGUGUAUUGUUUAGUAUUUUUUCCUCAUGUUAAUUUGUAAUAUAAUUUCUUUUUUUUACUGUUUCCUUUCGUUGCUUAGAGACAACUGUAUAAAGUGAUGCAUUAAACUUUGCAAGCACUA